rnacentral:misc_RNA from 1 species
GAUGAAGAACGCAGCGAAAUGCGAUAAGUAAUGUGAAUUGCAGAAUUCAGUGAAUCAUCGAAUCUUUGAACGCACAUUGCGCCCCCUGGUAUUCUGGGGGGCAUGCCUGUUCGAGCGUCAUUUCACCACUCAAGCCUCGCUUGGUAUUGGGCGACGCGGUCCGCCGCGCGCCUCAAAUCGACCGGCUGGGUCUUCCGUCCCCUCAGCGUUGUGGAAACUAUUCGCUAAAGGGUGCCGCGGGAGGUCACGCCGCAAAACAACCCCAUUUCUAAGGUUGACCUCGGAUCAGGUAGGGAUACCCGCUGAACUUAAGCAUAUCAAUAAGCGGAGGA